rnacentral:rRNA from 1 species
UACAGAGGGUGCGAGCGUUAAUCGGAAUUACUGGGCGUAAAGGGCGCGUAGGCGGAUGUGCAAGUGAGAUGUGAAAUACCCGGGCUCAACCUGGGAACUGCAUCUUAAACUGCAUAUCUGGAGUACUGUAGAGGAUAGUGGAAUUUCCGGUGUAGCGGUGAAAUGCGUAGAGAUCGGAAGGAACAUCAGUGGCGAAGGCGACUGUCUGGACAGAUACUGACGCUGAGGCGCGAAAGCGUGGGGAGCAAACAGG